rnacentral:rRNA from 1 species
CAGCAGCCACGGUAAUACGAAGGGUGCAAGCGUUAAUCGGAAUUACUGGGCGUAAAGCGUGCGCAGGCGGUUUCUUAAGUCUGAUGUGAAAGCCCCCGGUUUAACCGGGGAGGGUCAUUGGAAACUGGGAGACUUAGAGUGCAGAAGAGGAGAGUGGAAUUCCAUGUGUAGCGGUGAAAUGCGUAGAUAUAUGGAGGAACACCAGUGGCGAAGGCGACUCUCUGGUCUGUAACUGACGCUGAGGCGCGAAAGCGUGGGGAGCAAACGGGAUUAGAUACCCCGGUAGUCCCUGUCUCUUAUU